UGAGGAAUAUUGCACAAUGGGCGCAAGCCUGAUGCAGCAACGCCGCGUGGACGAUGAAGGCCUUCGGGUUGUAAAAUCCUUUUCUGGGGAAAGAUAAUGACGGUACCCCAGGAAUAAGUUCCGGCUAACUACGUGCCAGCAGCCGCGGUAAUACGUAGGGACCAAGCGUUGUUCGGAUUUACUGGGCGUAAAGGGCGCGUAGGCGGCUUUGUAAGUCACUUGUGAAAUCUCCGGGCUUAACUCGGAACGGCCAAGUGAUACUGCAAAGCUAGAGUGCAGAAGGGGCAAUCGGAAUUCUUGGUGUAGCGGUGAAAUGCGUAGAUAUCAAGAGGAACACCUGAGGUGAAGACGGUUGCUGGGCUGACACUGACGCUGAGGC
rnacentral:rRNA from 1 species